rnacentral:snoRNA from 1 species
GAAAGCCAAUAAUCGUGCGGAUUAUCAAACCAGGACUAUAAAACCGUGUUGCUAGUUUACCUAUCAGUGGUUUACUUUCUAGCGUCAAGUCCAUCGGAGAGAACAUUUUCGUUCGUCUUAGCGCCCUUUUGUUUUUGGAAUAUUUAUGAACCCAUUUGCAAGGGCCGGUAGAACGUACAGUC